rnacentral:rRNA from 1 species
GAUGAACGCUGGCGGCGUGCCUAAUACAUGCAAGUCGAGCGAACAGACGAGGAGCUUGCUCCUCUGACGUUAGCGGCGGACGGGUGAGUAACACGUGGAUAACCUACCUAUAAGACUGGGAUAACUUCGGGAAACCGGAGCUAAUACCGGAUAAUAUAUUGAACCGCAUGGUUCAAUAGUGAAAGACGGUUUUGCUGUCACUUAUAGAUGGAUCCGCGCCGCAUUAGCUAGUUGGUAAGGUAACGGCUUACCAAGGCAACGAUGCGUAGCCGACCUGAGAGGGUGAUCGGCCACACUGGAACUGAGACACGGUCCAGACUCCUACGGGAGGCAGCAGUAGGGAAUCUUCCGCAAUGGGCGAAAGCUUGACGGAGCAACGCCGCGUGAGUGAUGAAGGUCUUCGGAUCGUAAAACUCUGUUAUUAGGGAAGUACAAAUGUGUAAGUAACUAUGCACGUCUUGACGGUACCUAAUCAGAAAGCCACGGCUAACUACGU